rnacentral:rRNA from 1 species
UACGGGGGGGGCAAGCGUUGUUCGGAAUUACUGGGCGUAAAGGGCUUGUAGGCGGCCAACUAAGUCAGACGUGAAAUCCCUCGGCUUAACCGGGGAACUGCGUCUGAUACUGGAUGGCUUGAGUUCGGGAGAGGGAUGCGGAAUUCCAGGUGUAGCGGUGAAAUGCGUAGAUAUCGUAAGGAAGACCAGUGGCGAAGGCGGGUCUCUGGACAGUUCCUGACGCUGAGGCACGAAGGUCAGGGGAGCAAACGGG